rnacentral:rRNA from 1 species
AUUGAACGCUGGCGGCAUGCCUUACACAUGCAAGUCGAACGGCAGCGGGGGAGAAGCUUGCUUUUCCUGCCGGCGAGUGGCGAACGGGUGAGUAAUACAUCGGAACGUGCCCUGUAGUGGGGGAUAACUAGUCGAAAGAUUAGCUAAUACCGCAUACGACCUGAGGGUGAAAGUGGGGGACCGCAAGGCCUCAUGCUAUAGGAGCGGCCGAUGUCUGAUUGGCUAGUUGGUGGGGUAAAGGCCUACCAAGGCGACGAUCAGUAGCUGGUCUGAGAGGACGAUCAGCCACACUGGGACUGAGACACGGCCCAGACUCCUACGGGAGGCAGCAGUGGGGAAUUUUGGACAAUGGGCGAAAGCCUGAUCCAGCAAUGCCGCGUGUGUGAAGAAGGCCUUCGGGUUGUAAAGCACUUUUGUCCGGAAAGAAAUGGCUCUGGUUAAUACCUGGGGUCGAUGACGGUACCGGAAGAAUAAGGACCGGCUAACUACGUGCCAGCAGCAGCCGCGG